GAUGAAGAACGUAGCGAAAUGCGAUAAGUAAUGUGAAUUGCAGAAUUCAGUGAAUCAUCGAAUCUUUGAACGCACCUUGCGCCCUUUGGCCAUUCCGAAGGGCAUGCCUGUUUGAGUAUCAUGAACACCUCAACUCUUCAUGGUUUUCCAUGAUGAGCUUGGACUUUGGGGGUCUUGCUGGCCUGUGGGUCGGCUCCUCUCAAAUGAAUCAGCUUGCCGGUUUUUGGUGGGCAUCACAGGUGUGAUAACUAUCUACGCUUGUGGUUUUCCACCUGGGUAACCUUCAGCAGUGGAGGUUCACUGGAGCUUACAAAUGUCUCUCCUCUGUGAGGACAGCCCUUUGAAUGUUUGAUCUCAAAUCAGGUAGGACUACCCGCUGAACUUAAGCAUAUCAAUAAGCGGAGGA
rnacentral:misc_RNA from 1 species